rnacentral:rRNA from 1 species
CUGUACAGUUCAGAGUUUGAUCCUGGCUCAGGACGAACGCUGGCGGCGUGCCUAACACAUGCAAGUCGAACGAGGUCCAUCCGGUGGCAACACCGGGGAAGACCUAGUGGCGAACGGGUGAGUAACACGUGAGGAACCUGCCCCGAAGACCGGGAUAACCGCCCGAAAGGGUGGCUAAUACCGGAUGCCCUCACCGGAUCGCAUGGUCUGGUGAGGAAAUGGGUUUCCGCUUCGGGAGGGCCUCGCGGCCUAUCAGCUUGUUGGUGGGGUAACGGCCUACCAAGGCGUCGACGGGUAGCUGGUCUGAGAGGACGAUCAGCCACACUGGGACUGAGACACGGCCCAG